rnacentral:rRNA from 1 species
GUGGCGGACGGGUGAGUAACGCGUGGGUAACCUACCCUGUACAGGGGGAGUAACAGUCAGAAAUGACUGCUAAUACCGCAUAAGACCACAGCACCGCAUGGUGCAGGGGUAAAAACUCCGGUGGUACAGGAUGGACCCGCGUCUGAUUAGCUGGUUGGUGAGGUAACGGCUCACCAAGGCGACGAUCAGUAGCCGGCUUGAGAGAGUGAACGGCCACAUUGGGACUGAGACACGGCCCAAACUCCUACGGGAGGCAGCAUG